rnacentral:rRNA from 1 species
UGGGGAAUAUUGCACAAUGGGCGCAAGCCUGAUGCAGCAACGCCGCGUGAACGAUGAAGGUCUUCGGUUCGUAAAGUUCUGUUGCAGGGGAAGAUAAUGACGGUACCCUGUGAGGAAGCCCCGGCUAACUACGUGCCAGCAGCCGCGGUAAUACGUAGGGGGCUAGCGUUAUCCGGAUUUCCUGGGCGUAAAGGGUGCGUAGGUGGUCUUUCAAGUCGGUGGUUAAAGGCUACGGCUCAACCGUAGUUAGCCUCCGAAACUGGAAGACUUCAGUGCAGGAGAGGAAAGUGGAAUUCCCAGUGUAGCGGUGAAAUGCGUAGAUAUUGGGAGGAACACCAGAAGCGAAGGCGGCUUUCUGGACUGCAACUGACACUGAGGCACGAAAGCGUGGGUAGCAAACAGG